rnacentral:rRNA from 1 species
GAUGAACGCUGGCGGCGUGCCUAAUACAUGCCAGUCGAGCGAACAGACGAGGAGCUUGCUCCUCUGACGUUAGCGGCGGACGGGUGAGUAACACGUGGAUAACCUACCUAUAAUACUGGGAUAACUUCGGGAAACCGGAGCUAAUACCGGAUAAUAUAUUGAACCGCAUGGUUCAAUAGUGAAAGACGGUUUUGCUGUCACUUAUAGAUGGAUCCGCGCCGCAUUAGCUAGUUGGUAAGGUAACGGCGUACCAAGGCAACGAUGCGUAGCCGACCUGAGAGGGUGAUCGGCCACACUGGAAGUGAGACACGGUCCAGAGUCCUACGGGAGGCAGCAGUAGGGAAUCUUCCGCAAUGGGCGAAAGCAUGACGGAGCAACGCCGCGUGAAUGAUGAAGGUCUUCGGAUCGUAAAACUCUGUUAUUAGGGAAGAACAAAUGUGUAAGUAACUAUGCACGUCUUGACGGUACCUAAUCAGAAAGCAACGGCUAACUACGUG